rnacentral:piRNA from 1 species
ACUGACAUUAGAGGCUGCCAGUUGC